GCCUAGGAAUCUGCCUGGUAGUGGGGGAUAACGCUCGGAAACGGACGCUAAUACCGCAUACGUCCUACGGGAGAAAGCAGGGGACCUUCGGGCCUUGCGCUAUCAGAUGAGCCUAGGUCGGAUUAGCUAGUUGGUGAGGUAAUGGCUCACCAAGGCGACGAUCCGUAACUGGUCUGAGAGGAUGAUCAGUCACACUGGAACUGAGACACGGUCCAGACUCCUACGGGAGGCAGCAGUGGGGAAUAUUGGACAAUGGGCGAAAGCCUGAUCCAGCCAUGCCGCGUGUGUGAAGAAGGUCUUCGGAUUGUAAAGCACUUUAAGUUGGGAGGAAGGGCAUUAACCUAAUACGUUGGUGUCUUGACGUUACCGACAGAAUAAGCACCGGCUAACUCUGUGCCAGCAGCCGCGGUAAUACAGAGGGUGCAAGCGUUAAUCGGAAUUACU
rnacentral:rRNA from 1 species